rnacentral:sRNA from 16 species
UCCCCAGCCAGGCUGGGGGUUCCGGAAAGCUUUCAGUUUUGAGCCAGUUAUUAAAACCUCUUUUGAUUUGUUAAAACACCUUGCGGUAUGGCAACAGCAAGUGUCAAACAAAAAAUCAAAAG